rnacentral:rRNA from 1 species
GAUGAACGCUGGCGGCGUGCCUAAUACAUGCAAGUCGAGCGAAUGGAUUAAGAGCUUGCUCUUAUGAAGUUAGCGGCGGACGGGUGAGUAACACGUGGGUAACCUGCCCAUAAGACUGGGAUAACUCCGGGAAACCGGGGCUAAUACCGGAUAACAUUUUGAACCGCAUGGUUCGAAAUUGAAUGGCGGCUUCGGCUGUCACUGAUGGAUGGACCCGCGGCGCAUUAGCUAGUUGGUGAGGUAACGGCUCACCAAGGCAACGAUGCGUAGUCGACCUGAGAGGGUGAUCGGCCACACUGGGACUGAGACACGGCCCAGACUCCUACGGGAGGCAGCAGUAGGGAAUCUUCCGCAAUGGACGAAAGUCUGACGGAGCAACGCCGCGCGAGUGAUGAAGGCUUUCGGGUCGUAAAACUCUGUUGUUAGGGAAGAACAAGUGCUAGUUGAAUAAGCUGGCACCUUGACGGUACCUAACCAGAAAGCCACGGCUAACUACGUGCCAGCCGCCGCGGUAA